rnacentral:sRNA from 1 species
UACUCGUAGUUUAGUGGUUGUGCUGGAU